AUUGAACGCUGGCGGCAUGAUUUACACAUGCAAGUCGAACGGUAACAGGCCGCAAGGUGCUGACGAGUGGCGAACGGGUGAGUAAUGCAUCGGAACGUGCCCAGUCGUGGGGGAUAACUACUCGAAAGAGUAGCUAAUACCGCAUACGAUCUAUGGAUGAAAGCGGGGGACCGUAAGGCCUCGCGCGAGUGGAGCGGCCGAUGUCAGAUUAGGUAGUUGGUGGGGUAAAGGCUCACCAAGCCAACGAUCUGUAGCUGGUCUGAGAGGACGACCAGCCACACUGGGACUGAGACACGGCCCAGACUCCUACGGGAGGCAGCAGUGGGGAAUUUUGGACAAUGGGCGCAAGCCUGAUCCAGCAAUGCCGCGUGCAGGAAGAAGGCCUUCGGGUUGUAAACUGCUUUUGUACGGAACGAAACGGCUCUGGUUAAUACCCGGGGCUAAUGACGGUACCGUAAGAAUAAGCACCGGCUAACUACGUG
rnacentral:rRNA from 1 species